rnacentral:rRNA from 1 species
UUGAACGCCGGCGGCAGGCCUAACCCAUGCAAGUCGCGCGGAUGAAGGGAGCUUGCUCCUGGAUUCAGCGGCGGACGGGUGAGUAAUGCCUAGGAAUCUGCCUGGUAGUGGGGGAUAACGUCCGGAAACGGGCGCUAAUACCGCAUACGUCCUGAGGGAGAAAGUGGGGGAUCUUCGGACCUCACGCUAUCAGAUGAGCCUAGGUCGGAUUAGCUAGUUGGUGGGGUAAAGGCCUACCAAGGCGACGAUCCGUAACUGGUCUGAGAGGAUGAUCAGUCACACUGGAACUGAGACACGGUCCAGACUCCUACGGGAGGCAGCAGUGGGGAAUAUUGGACAAUGGGCGAAAGCCUGAUCCAGCCAUGCCGCGUGUGUGAAGAAGGUCUUCGGAUUGUAAAGCACUUUAAGUUGGGAGGAAGGGCAGUAAGUUAAUACCUUGCUGUUUUGACGUUACCAACAGAAUAAGCACCGGCUAACUUCGUG